ACACCAAUGAACAGGUUGGACUACAAGGAG
rnacentral:piRNA from 1 species